UUGGAAAGAUUUUUCGGUUGGGGAUGGGCUCGCGGCCUAUCAGCUUGUUGGUGAGGUAAUGGCUCACCAAGGCGUCGACGGGUAGCCGGCCUGAGAGGGUGACCGGCCACACUGGGACUGAGACACGGCCCAGACUCCUACGGGAGGCAGCAGUGGGGAAUAUUGCACAAUGGGCGCAAGCCUGAUGCAGCAACGCCGCGUGAGGGAUGACGGCCUUCGGGUUGUAAACCUCUUUUAGCAGGGAAGAAGCGAAAGUGACGGUACCUGCAGAAAAAGCGCCGGCUAACUACGUGCCAGCAGCCGCGGUAAUACGUAGGGCGCAAGCGUUAUCCGGAAUUAUUGGGCGUAAAGAGCUCGUAGGCGGUUUGUCGCGUCUGCUGUGAAAUCCCGAGGCUCAACCUCGGGCCUGCAGUGGGUACGGGCAGACUAUAGUGCGGUAGGGGAGAUUGGAAUUCCUGGUGUAGCGGUGGAAUGCGCAGAUAUCAGGAGGAACACCGAUGGCGAAGGCAGAUCUCUGGGCCGUAACUGACGCUGAGGAGCGAAAGGGUGGGGAGCAAACAGGCUUAGAUACCCUGGUAGUCCACCCCGUAAACGUUGGGAACUAGUUGGGGGGUGCAUUCCGCGGAUUCCGUGACGCAGCUAACGCAUUAAGUUCCCCGCCUGGGGAGUACGGCCGCAAGGCUAAAACUCAAAGGAAUUG
rnacentral:rRNA from 1 species